AUACGGAGGGUGCGAGCGUUGUUCGGAAUUACUGGGCGUAAAGCGGGUGUAGGCGGUGGAUCAAGUCAGAUGUGAAAGCCCUCGGCUCAACCGAGGAAGUGCAUCUGAAACUGGUUCACUAGAGUACGGGAGAGGAGAGUGGAAUUCCCAGUGUAGAGGUGAAAUUCGUAGAUAUUGGGAGGAACACCGGUGGCGAAGGCGGCUCUCUGGAACGAUACUGACGCUGAGACCCGAAAGCGUGGGGAGCAAACAGGAUUAGAAACCCCGGUAGUCC
rnacentral:rRNA from 1 species